GAACACACCCACCGCCUAAAUAUUUCGUGUUGGUAUCGUGUCACAGGCUAUGGCGCGGAUGACGUGCAACGCGGAACCGGCCAUCUUGAACGUCUGUGGAUGACUCAUAAGUUUUUGUCAACGAGGUAGAAGCUGUUUGUGUAUUGGAUCAGCUGUGUGCAUAGGCGUACCAUCUGGUAAAGCUCAUGUAUAU